GACGAACGCUGGCGGCGUGCUUAACACAUGCAAGUCGAACGGGAGUAUUGAAGAAGCUUGCUUUAGAGAUACUUUAGUGGCGGACGGGUGAGUAACGCGUGAGGAGCUGUCCAAUGCAGGGGGACAACAGUUGGAAACGACUGCUAAUACCCCAUAAGCCGAGAGGUAAAAGGAUUUAUCCGGCAGAGGAGGUACUCGCGUCCUAUCAGCUAGUAGGUGAGGUAACGGCUCACCUAGGCGAAGACGGGUAGCCGGCCUGAGAGGGCGAACGGCCACACUGGAACUGAGAUACGGUCCAGACUCCUACGGGAGGCAGCAGUGGGGAAUAUUGGGCAAUGGGGGGAACCCUGACCCAGCGACGCCGC
rnacentral:rRNA from 1 species